rnacentral:rRNA from 1 species
CCUACGGGUGGCAGCAGUGGGGAAUAUUGCACAAUGGGGGAAACCCUGAUGCAGCGACGCCGCGGGAGAGAGGAAGGAUUUCGGUAUGUAAAGCUCUAUCAGCAGGGACGAAAAAAGACGGUACCGGACGAAGAAGCCCCGGCUAACUACGUGCCAGCAGCCGCGGUAAUACGGAGGGGGCAAGCGUUAUCCGGAUUUACUGGGUGGAAAGGGAGCGGAGACGGCAAGGCCAGCCAGAAGGGCAAGGGCAGGGCUCAACCCUGUACCUGCUUUUGGAACUGGGGUGCUAGAGUGCAGGAGCGGUCAGUGGACUUCCUCGUGUAGCGGUGACAUGCGUCGAUAUUAGGAGG